CCUACGUGAGGCAGCAGUGAGGAAUAUUGGUCAAUGGACGCAAGUCUGAACCAGCCAUGCCGCGUGCAGGAAGAAGGCUCUAUGAGUUGUAAACUGCUUUUGUACAAGAGUAAAUCCCGAAACGUGUCUCGUGUUGAAAGUAUCGUAUGAAUAAGGAUCGGCUAACUCCGCGCCAGCAGCCGCGGUAAUACGGAGGGUUCAAGCGUUGUCCGGAUUUAUUGUGUUUAAAGGGAGCGUAGGCGGGUCGAUAAGUUAGAUGUGAAAGCUCGCGGCUCAACUCCGGCAGUGCCUGUGAUACUGUCGGGCUUGAGUUCAGUUGAGGUAGGCGGAAUGCAUUGUGUAGCGGUGAAAUGCAUAGAGAUCACACAGAACACCGAUUGCGAAGGCAGCUUACCAAACUAUGACUGACGUUGAGGCACGAAAGCGUGGGGAGCAAACAGGAUUAGAUACCCCUGUAGUC
rnacentral:rRNA from 1 species